rnacentral:rRNA from 1 species
GAUGAACGCUGGCGGCGUGCCUAAUACAUGCAAGUCGAGCGAACAGACGAGGAGCUUGCUCCUCUGACGUUAGCGGCGGACGGGUGAGUAACACGUGGAUAACCUACCUAUAAGACUGGGAUAACUUCGGGAAACCGGAGCUAAUACCGGAUAAUAUAUUGAACCGCAUGGUUCAAUAGUGAAAGACGGUUUUGCUGUCACUUAUAGAUGGAUCCGCGCCGCAUUAGCUAGUUGGUAAGGUAACGGCUUACCAAGGCGACGAUGCGUAGCCGACCUGAGAGGGUGAUCGGCCACACUGGAACUGAGACACGGUCCACUCCUACGGGAGGCAGCAGUAGGGAAUCUUCCGCAAUGGGCGAAAGCCUGACGGAGCAACGCCGCGUGAGUGAUGAAGGUCUUCGGAUCGUAAAACUCUGUUAUUAGGGAAGAACAAAUGUGUAAGUAACUAUGCACGUCUUGACGGUACCUAAUCAGAAAGCCACGGCUAACUACGUG